UGGGGCGUGGCCCAGUGGUAAGGCAACGGGUUUUGGUCCCGCUAUUCGGAGGUUCGAAUCCUUCCGUCCCAG
rnacentral:tRNA from 4 species